AUAAGCGUAAAAAACUUAUAAAACAACUUUUAACAACGGAUCUCUUGGUUCUCGCAUCGAUGAAGAACGUAGCAAAGUGCGAUAACUAGUGUGAAUUGCAUAUUCAGUGAAUCAUCGAGUCUUUGAACGCAACUUGCGCUCAAUGGUAUUCCAUUGAGC
rnacentral:rRNA from 1 species